GCAGACCCCAGGCGCAGUACAGGGUGAGUGCGCGUCGACGGGGAGGAAAGGAGGAAGGUCUCAGACCAGGGGCAAGUCUGCGGAGGGAUGAGCCAGACACGUCUAGGAAACCUAAGCAACCAGAGCUUGGAUUGGUGGUGUGAACGUUUCAGCUGCCCCAAGGUGGAGCCAGGGUACCAUGCAUCAACUCAGAGAAGGGUCUGACUUUGCAGUUGCAGCUGGCCUUGAACUCACCUUGUAGCCGAAGCUGGCCUCAAACUCUCAGCGAUCUUUCUACCUCAGCCUCUCGAGUGCCGGGAUUACAGGAAGAAAAGAAUACACAAAGAAAUCAGGAAAUCAUUACUAAGAGUUCAGAAGCAAGAAAAUGGCAACUUGGGGUAUGUAGGCAUAAGAGAGGGGCACAAACACACUGAGAUAUCUUUGAGAGGUGUAAACCAACAGGACUUGCUGAUGAAUGUGAUCUUGGAGGAGGGUGUGAAUGGAAGAGAAGAAUCGAGGGUAAUGCUUAAAUUUAGUGCUUGAGGAAUAGUGGGGUUUUUGGAGACGUGAGUUUAUGUGCUGUCAACUUUAUUGUAAUAAUCAAUGUUGAUACUUCUUUUUCUAGCUUAGUGCUUCUCGAAGUUGAAAUAUGCAUAGUUCCAUUUUAAAAAGAAUUCUGUCAAUAAACAAAUUCUGAUUUCAUGUCUGUACUGUUUACUAUCUUCAAUAGAGGUACAUGUUUGUUCUUCCUCUAAUGUCAGACUGUUUAAUUCCUCGAGGUAUAUGUAGAUCUCGGCAAUGUGAUCCUUCCAAUUUUGUUCUUCUGUUGUCAAAAUUGUGUCCUAAUCAUGCUAAACUCACUGAAUAUCUCUAGGUAAGAAUUUCCCCAAACUGAUGAAAACUAACACACCAUACAUCUCAGAAGCUCAGAGAAGCCCAUGGAAGAUACAUACAAAGGAAAACACAACUAGGUACAUCUUAGUGAAACUCUUGAAAACCAAAAGGAAAGAGCACGUCCUAAAAUAACCCAAAAGCAAAUGAUUUACUAUAAGCAGAGAAAGAAGGUAGAAAAGAAAAAAGACCUCUUGACAGUAACAGUAACUAUGCAAACCAGAAGAGAAAGAGCAAUGUCUUUGAAGUGCUGAGACAUAGUAAGGAAGAGGGUAGGAGGAGAAGAAAGAAUGUGAAUCAGAGAAAGAAGGAGCAGAUAGAAGAGGAGGAGAAGAAAGAGGAAGGAAAAUAUCCUCUCUAGUUAGAAAAGAAGCAAAUUAUAAAUUAUCAAUAUCAUCAUUUAAAAAAUAGUCACUAUUAUAGAUCCUACAAACAUUAUUAGAAUAAUAAUGAACUAUUUACCACCUUCUAUGUUUCUCCCACUUCUGAUCUAUAAAUUUAACACAUGUAAUGAAAUGAAUAAUUUUUCUAAAGACAAAAGUUCCUAAAGAUUUCUCAAGAAAAGAAAAACAUGACCUGAAGAACCUCAUUAACCAUAUUUCAAACAUCUUUUCCUUGAUGAAUUUUACUAAACAGUCAAGUAAGAAAUAUUUGCAAUUUUACACAAAAUCUCCCAAAACAUGGAAGAGAAAGAUCCCUUCCCAAUACAUCAUAUGAGACCAGCAUGCCUCAUACCAGAACUCAGACCAAUAUUUUUUAUCUUUAGGGAAACAAAAAUUCGACAAGAUAUUAGUGUAAAAAAAAUCCUGCUGUAUAAAAUGCAUUAUGAUUAAAGUGCAAUUCAUCCCAAGAAUGUAAGGUUGGUUUGAAUUUUAAAAAUCACUUCAUAUGAUUCACAAUAACCAUAUGCUAAUAAGAAAAAAUACAUGUAUCAUUUCAUAAAUACAGAAACAUGUUCAACUAAAUCAAAUAUCACCAAUGGUGGAGUUGCUGCAAACUAAGAAAGCAAGAAAAGUUUGAAAACUUUUCAAAGUUUUGAAAGUUUGAAAAGCAAGAAAACUAUGAAAGCAAGAAAAGUUUCUCAACCUGGUAAAUCACACCUAUAAAGUAGCACUAAGUAAAAAACAUGCUAAAUGAUGAAAUAAUAAUUUUCCUUGAGAUGGGAAUCAAGGAAAACAUAUUCAAGGAAUACAGAUUGAAAAGGAACUAUAAAAAAGAAUUGUUGGUCUUAGGCCUACCUGCGCCAACUUCCCAACUUCCUGCCACACUUGGCUGGCUCCGGGGGUCUUGCGCCUGCCUGCACCCUCAAUUCUGAAAUUGGGUGGCCAGAAGUGAGUGUCCCCUCACCAUCCCAAGCCCCAGGAGUUUAAGGUCAUCCCUCCCACUGGCCAAGGAACUUCCCAGCUUCCUGCCACACUCGACCUGCUCCACCUGCCUACCACACCCUCGGUGACCCUCUCUCAAUCUGGGGAACUGGGCAGCCACAGUCCCAGGAGCUGAUGGCAUAGAAGACGAUUUCCAACAGGACCAGGGGGAGCCUUGGAACAACAUUUGAAACACGGAAAUAUAUGAAAAUGACAAAAUGAAAGACCAAAAUACAAUCUCAAACCUCCAGACCAUCCCAAGAAACCUUAGGAAAUAUGUACAUAGAAGAAAAAUAUGUGCCAUACACCUGAAAUACCUGAAAUAACAGCAACUAAAAUAAAGAAGCAACUCCAGGAAGCUUUAAAGGAAUUCAAACUAGCAAUAAUAUUCCAGGUAAAAGAAGAAAUGAUACAAGUAAUGAAAGAGAUGCUGAACACAUCUAAAGAAGACACAGUUAAAAAAUUAGAGAAACAAAACAAAAGAUAGAAUCCCUGGAUGAACAAUAUAAGAAACAAACAGAAUACAUGAAGUAGAUUCAAAGAGAUAUGCAGGAAAUCAAAAACUCCAUUGAAAGUUGUCAAAACCACCUCAACAAAAGUGAAAAUAGAAUUUCACACCUCCAAGACAAGAUUGCAGCUAGGGAAUAGGACAGGAAAGAUCUUUUAAAUAUAACAAGGAAUUAGGAAAUAACAAUUCAACAGCUGCAAGAUGAUGCAAAGAAAAACAACAUAAGAUUGCUAGGGAUAAAUGAAAAAAAAGGGGGGGGACAACACAAAGGAUAUCAAGAGGAUAUUUAGAGAAGUAAUAGCUGAAAAUUUCCCAAACAUGAGAAUGGAAACUGACAUCAGGAUCAGUGAAGCAUAUAGAACUCCAAAUAGCCAUAACCAAAAUAAAACUACACUCAGACAUAUAACAAUCACCAUCCCAGAAAUCCAACCUAAGAAUAGAAUAUUAAACGCUAUCAGAGAGAAAAGAUACAUCACCUAUAAAGGAAAACUUAUCAGAAUUGCAGCAGACUUCUUAGCACAAACAAUAAAGUCAAGAAGAACAUGGAAUGAAGUAUUUCAGAUCCUAAAGGAAAAUGAUUCCCAACCUAGACUGAGGUAUCUUGCAAACCUGUCCUUGAAAUUGGAUGCAGAAAUAAAAUACUUCCAUGACAAAGAACAGCUAAAGAGCUUCAUGAUCACCAAACCAACCCUGCAAAGAAUACUGAAACACAGUCUAGAUACACUUAGGGAAAAAAACACUAAGGAAAGCAGACAGUUAAACAGAAUGGAAAGAUAAAGAUGCCACAGCAGAAAGAUAACAUUUCAACAAUGAACCAAAACAAUAACAGUUAUAACCAUUACUGUAAAUUGUCUCCAUUCUCCAAUUAAAGGAAACAAACUGGCAGAAUGGAUCAAGAAACAACAUCCAACCAUAUGCUGUCUACAAGAAACCCAUCUAACCCAAAAGGAUACACACAGGCUGAAAGUCAAAGGAUGGAAAACAAUACUUUAUGCAACAGGAACCAAAAAAAAAAAAAAAAUGGGGGUAGCUAUUCUGUUUGCAGACAAUGUAAAAUUCAAACCAAGAAUGAUUAGAAGAGAUAAAAAAAGGUCAUUACAUACCGGUUAGGGGAAAACUUCAAGAGGAAGAGAUAACAAUCUUAAAUAUAUAUGCACCAAAUUCCAGAGCACCCAGUUAAACAAAGCAAGUAUUAAUAGAAAUGAAAAAUCAAAUUAGCAAUAACACAAUUAUAAGAGGAGAUCUUAACACACCAUUGAUACAAAGGAAUAGAUGAACCAGACAGAAAAUCAGCAAAGAAAUGACAGAACUGAAUCACACAUGUGAACAAAAGGACUUGAUAGACCUACACAGAGUGUUCCAUCCAACAACAUCAGAAUACACAUUCUUCUUAGCAGUACAUGGGUCAUUCUCUAAAAUAGACCAUAUACUAGCCCGCCGAAAAUAUCUGAACAAAGGCAAAAGGGUUGAAAUUAUUCCAUGCAUGUUAUCAGAUCAUAGCACCAUGAAACUAGAAAUUCAUGAUAAAACAAACUGCAAAAACCCCACAAACACAUGGAAAAUGAAUAACACACUCUUGAGCAAUCAGUGGGUUACAGGGGAAAUUAAAGAAGAAACUAAACAAUACCUGCAAGCAAACAAAAAUACAAAUACAGCUUACCAGAAUCUGUGGGAUGCAAUGAAAGCAGUCCUCAGAGGAAAAUAUAUUGCACUGAGUUCUCACAUCAGGAAAACAGAAUGAAUGCAAAUAAAUAACUUGAUGCUACACUUCAAACAUCUAGAAAAAUAAGAGCAAGUCAAGCCCAAAGCAAAAAGAAGGGAAGAAAUUAUAAAAAUCAGAGCAGAAACUAAUGCAAUAGAGACUAAGAAAACAAUCCAAAGAAUCAAUGAAUCAAAGAGUUGGUUCUUUGAAAGAAUAAAUAAAAUUGAUAAGCCUCUAGCCAACCUUAUUUCAAAAAGAAAUGAAAAAGCUCAAAUUCAUGCCAUAAGGAAUGAAAAAGGUGAAAUCACUACAGAUUCUGUAGAAACACAGAAGAUCAUCAACACCUAUUUCAAAAAUCUCUACUCUCAUAGGUUUGAUAACAGAAGAAAUAGACAGAUUCAUAGAAACUUAUGAAAUACCAAAGCUGGGUCAAGAAGAUGCAAAACUGCUGAAUAAUCCAAUUUCUUUUAAUUAAAUCGAAAAUGUAAUUAAGUCCCUACAUACAAAGAAGAGCCCAGGCCCAGAUGGAUUCACUGCAGAAUUCCACAAGAAAUACAAAGAAGACUUAAUGCUGACACUCCUUAAACUGUUCAAUGAAAUCAAAAGGGAUGCAAUUCUUCAUAAGUCAUUCCCGGAAGCAAAUGUUAUCUUAGUACCAAAACGUGAGAAAGACCAAAAAAAAAAAAAAAAAAAGAGAGAGAGAGAGAGAGAGAGAACUACAGGCCAACAGGCCAAUCUCCCUAAUGAACACAGAUGCAAAAAUCCUCAAUAAAAUAUUGGCAAACAGGAUGCAGCAAAUCAUCAAGAAGAUUAUACACCAUGACCAAGUGGGAUUCAUCCCAGGCAUGCAGGGAUGGUUCAACAUACAUAAAUCAAUAAAAGUAAUCCAGCAUAUCAAUAAAGCCAAAAGUAAGAAUCACAUGAUCAUUUCUGUAGAUGCAGAACAAGCUUUUGAUAAGGUCCAAUAUUCAUUCAUGAUAAGAACCUUACAGAAAAUUGGAAUAGAUGGUGUUUACCUCAAUAUGAUAAAGACCAUCUAUGACAAACCAACAGCCAGUAUCCUACUAAAUGGCCAAAAACUGAAGAUCUUUACCUUAAAAUCAGGCAUAAGACAAGGAUGUCCCUUAUCACUGCUCCUAUUUAAUAUAGUACUAGAAACACUAGCCAGAGCAAUUAGACAAGAGAGAGAAAUAAAGGGGGUAAAGAUAGGAAAAGAAGAAGUUAUAUUAACAUUAUUUGCAGAUGACAUGAUACUCUAGAUAGAAGACCCCCAAAAUUCCAUUGAAAGAUUCCUAGAUAUAAUAAAUAAAUUCAGCAGUAUAGCUGAAUACAAAAUCAACACUCAAAAAUCAAUAUCAUUACUAUACACUAACAACAAACUCACAGAGAGAGAAAUAAGAGAAGCCACACCCUUCACACUACCAUCCAAAGAAUUGAAAUACUUAGGAAAUAUUUUUACUAAAGAAGUGAAAGAUCUAUAUAGGGAAAAUUAUAAUGCACUGAAAAAAGAAAUUGAAGAGGAUCUCGGAAAAUGGAAAGACAUCCCUUGCUCAUGGAUAGGAAGAAUAAAUAUUGUGAAAAUGGUCAUUCUCCCAAAACUGUUAUACAGAUUCAAUACAAUCCCACUAAAAAUACCAUCAACAUACCUCAUAUAUCUAGAGAAAUCACUCCUAAAAUUCAUCUGAAUCCAGAAGAGAUCAAGAAUAGCAAAGACAGUUCUAAUCAGCAAAGGCAAGGCAGGAGGCAUCACAAUCCCUGACUUGAAGUUAUACUACAAAGCAGCUAUAGUAAAAUCAACAUGGUACCAUCUUAUCUUUGAUAAAGGGGCCAAACAUGUUCACUGGAAGAAUGACAGUCUCUUUAAUAAGUGGUGUUGGAAAAACUGGCUUUCCAUAUGCUAAAAACUAAAACAAGACCCAUGCGUAUCACCAUGUACUAAAUUAAAACCUAAAUGGAUCAAAGAUCUGAAUAUUAAAACAGAAACACUAAAUCUAUUGGAAGACAAAUUGGGUAAAAACCUUGAAGACAUAGGGGUAGGUAGCGAAUUCAUGAACAGGAAUCAUACCACAUGAUAAAUACUUCCCAGAAUCAAUAACUGGGAUCACGUCUUAUUAAAAAGUCUCUGCAUGUCAAAAGAAAUCUCCAGCAUAGUGAUAAGAAAACCCACAAACUGGGAAAAAAUCUUAGUGAACUGUCCUUCAGACAAAGGGCUUCUGUCUAAAACAUAAAAAGCUUUAAGAAAUCAGAUCCUCAAAAUUCAAAGGUCCAAUCCAAAAAUGGGCAUCUGAGAUGAAUACACAGUUCUUAGAUAAAGAAAUACAAAUGGCAAAGAAAUGCAUGAAAAAAUGUUCAUCAUCACUAGUCAUUAGAGAAAUGCAAAUUAAAACCACACUGAGAUUCCAUCUCACUCCUGAAAGAAUGGCCAGGAUCAAGAAAACUACCACAACAAAUGCUGGAGAUGCUGUGGGGAAAAAGGAAUUCUCCUGCACUGUUGGUGGGAGUGUAAACUGGUGCAACCAUUGUGGAGGUCAGUCUGGAGACUUCGCAGAAAGCUGAGAUUGGAAGUCCCAUUUGUUCCAGCUAUUCCCCUUCUGGGCAUAUUCCCAAAAGAACUGAAAACAUCCUAACACAGUGAUAUUUGUGCACCCAUGUUUAUAGCAGCAUAAUUUGUAAUAGCCAGAUCUAAGAAACAACCUAAGUGUCCAUCAACUGUGGAAUGGACAUAAAAUUGUGGUAUUUUUAUGCACUGGAGUACUACUCAGCUAUAACAAAUGAUCGCAUUGAGAUAUUUAUAAAUAAAUGGAUGCAGCUUGAGACCAUACUCGUAAGUGAAAUAAAUCAAACUUACAUGUAUAAAUACAGAAUAGUCUACCUAGUGUAAGAAAUGGUAAGAAUACAUAGAAGUGUGUGAUAAUCAUGAUUCCCCAUUAUAUUGCUUUGAAGCCUUAUAAAGUUCUCAUUCAUCAGUUGGAAUGGUUUAUUCUGGGUUGUUUGAGUGUAUUGUAGGUGAUGGUAUGAACAGCUAUUUUGAAGAAAAUAAAACAUUAUAAUAGCUAGUGCUGAUUUAAUAUCAUCUUGUUUUGAAGUCCUUCCAAGAUUUUGUUCUUCUGUCUCCAUCAGUUUUAUCAUGUUGUAUCUUAUUGUAUUUUAUUAUAUGUGAUAGUAUAAACAAAAUUCUUUAUGGACAAGGAGAUAAUAUAGUAACCAUUGUUCAUUUUCUGUUAGUUGGUUCUGAAUAACCUGUAAUACAUUCAUUCUCUUGAAUGGUUUUGUACUUGUUAUCUUUGAUACUUAUGUCUUAUCUUUGAUACUAUAGUGUUUGAAGGUAUACUCAAAUAUUUCAAGGAAAGAGACACUAUGGUAGCUACUGUUGUGCUGGGUUGUCUUGUGAAACACUAUGUUGCUUUAAUUGUUCUAUUCUGUCCUCUUUUGUUAUGUCCUCUUUUAUCUAUCUUUUUUAAAAUAAAAAAAGAAUUGUCUGUAUAUA